GACGGAGGGUGCUAGCGUUGUUCGGAAUGACUGGGCGUAAAGGGCGCGUAGGCGGCUCGUGAAGUCGGGUGUGAAAGCCCGGGGCUCAACCCCGGAACGGCAUCCGAUACUGGCGGGCUUGAGACCGGGAGAGGAGGGUGGAAUGCCCAGUGUAGAGGUGAAAUUCGUAGAUAUUGGGUGGAACACCGGUGGCGAAAGCGGCUCUCUGGCCCGGAUCUGACGCUGAGGCGCGAAAGCGUGGGGAGCAAACAGG
rnacentral:rRNA from 1 species